CGAGAACCGAAAGGACCUCGACGGUGAACGUAGUUGCAGAGAGUCAGAGAACUACAAAUGAAAAGCAAGAGACGGACGGUUAAGCCUCGGCCUGUGAAAAGCUCCAGACUCUUCUCUAGGGCACCGCCCCAGCUCUUCACUCAGGAUGAGCAUGAUGAUGAUGAUGAUGAGGAUUUGAGUUCUGGGUUAAGCAAAGAACAGUGCUUGUUGAAGAAUCUAUAUGGAGUUCGAUAGGUUAGAAGUAGAUAAUUGUGUUAGGUGUAAUGGUGGUAGUGGGAACGGGAAAUUGUUGGUUUGUACUGAGAUGGGUUGCCCAAUUGCUCUGCAUGUGGAGUGUAUGUGUGCUAAACCUGUGUUUGAUGAAAUGGGCAAUUUUUACUGUCCUUAUUGUGCAUAUAAGCUGAAGUUUGUGCGGACUCAGAAGCUGAGGAGAAAGGCAAUGGCUUCCAAGAGAGUCCUGUCCAAGUUUAUUGAUGCCGGAGAGGGAAAUGGUUGCGGCUAUGGUGACGGGUGUGGUGGUGGUGAAGUUCGGGAUCAGACUGUGGGGAUUGAAGGAGGUGAACCCGAGGAAGAGGACAACGAGCAGAGAGAGAUUGAAAAUGUAGGAGGUGGAGAAAGAAUAGAUGAGGACCAGCAGGAGGGGGAAGUUGUUGAAGAGACACCUGAAGUGGAUGCAGAGCCUGAGAAUGCUUGUUAUGUACAAGAAAAGACAAAUAAGGACCAUGGACAUGAUGGAUUAGACCAAGGAGAUGAGGAAGGUAUAAGGGUGUCUAAGGAGAAUGAAGACAAAAGUGACGAUGAAGAACAAGGGCAACCAGAAGCAAACGAGGUACCUGCAAAUGGCACUGUCGUGUCCGAAUCUGAGGAGUUAGAUACUGGGUCUCCUCUAGUGCGGAAGAAGCGUUUCAAGAGAAAAGCUCAAAAGGCAGAACAGCCUCAGAAUUUAGCUUCAUUAAGGACAGUGCCUUCUCCAUCAAGGGAAUCAUCCUCUCGUCAAACAAGUUUUGUGGAGGAUUCAAAAAAGCAAAAUGAGAAAGCUAAAACCUUUUCCAAGAAGGAAAUAGAAGAUCACGAAUUUGCAAGAAACUUGGUACUUCCCAAUGGGAAGCGCAAGAAAUUAAACUGGACAGGUGAAGAGGUAGAAAUGUUAAAGGAGGGAGUGAGAAUUUAUAAAGCAAAAGGCCAAAAGAUCCCCUGGACGCAAAUUUUGGAAUUUGGUCAUAACAUAUUUCACAUAACCCGUCUUCCAGGCGAUCUUAAGGAUAAAUGGAGGAACUUGAUCGGGCGAAGGUGAACUCCACUUUGGACUCAGAGAAAGCAGAACUUUCUAUGCAAGGAGGGUGUUUGGCUUGGGCGUAAUAGAUAACGACAAUGUGGUUGACAAACGCAUGACAACUCAGCUGAAAAAAAGUUUGUCCUCACUGUUUAAGACGCAGGCAUUGUCAUGGAGUAAUUCAAAACUGCUUCAGCCAUGAAGAUUUUUUUUAUUCAGAACAACAUUUUGCACUGUAUUUUUUUGUAAAGCUUUGUAAAAAGGGUGUACCUGUAACAUCAGUUGCAUGCUGAAGUUUCAAAUAUCAAGCGUUGGGGCCAACUUACAUUUUUCUCUAA